rfam:Cicer arietinum chromosome Ca5, whole genome shotgun sequence.
ACCUGGAAGGCUAUUUGGUAGAGCGAUCAGUUUAUCUGAAUAAAGGUAGGUUCGAAUCCUACUUCGGGUU